GCUGCACAUAUUUUUCAACACCAUUAACUCUUCAAGCUAGCCACCUUUUCAAUACGCCAAUCAAGAUGAGGGCUACCCAAGUUUUCCUAUUGCUUGCCUUCAUGGUGCUGCUAUCAAAUGAGGUAGGAACAACUGCAUCAACAGAAAGUAGCGGCAAUGGAGAUUGUGAACCAGCAGUUAUUAAGUUGGGCGAUGAUUGUAUCCCGAAGGAGUGCAGCCACAACUGCAUUGCCCUCGGAGCUCGUAGUGGAAACUGCAUCGGAGGGCCGGCAUGCAAUUGUGUUUUCUGUGGACCUAGGCAUGCGCCACCUCCGCAACAAUAGGAUUCUGUUACAUGGGUGCUGCAGCCGCAAUGCUGCUGCUGAUGUUUAGGAACUUCUGCUCAAGGAUAGAUUCAUAGAUGUAUACCUACAGUAACAGUGCUGGAGCAAGUUAAAUGGCUGGAAUAAUUGAUGAUUAGUGAUUUAUUAAAGUGGAAUAUGUCUGUGCUUUCUAUCCAAAGAAAAAAUUUAUGGAAAACUAAAAAAA